GUUGAAGUGCAAGGUAUGUAUUCUUCACCAAUCUCCACACGUUGGUGUUCACUUUGAACAGCAGGCUUUUGUAUGGCAUCUUUCUUCCAUUUCUGAGGGAGUUUCUCCUCUUCCAUGGAUGUCAUAAAAUUACGGGUAGAUGUAUCCUUUAAAAUUAACAACCAACCUCCACAACUUUGCAUAUAUAUAGAUGGUUAGAAAAAGGUGAAAAAUAGUCUCCUAAUUUGGAUUUUGACAACACCAACGUUGUGACGCUAGAGCAUCCCCAUAGACUGAAUAACAUCAUCAAUUGAAAUUGUAGAUCUCAGUGCCCUCCAAAGGAAAAGACCACCUUCUUUAUCCAUAUAAAUUUAAAGAUCUAUUCCUUCUCUUCUUGUUGUCUUGCAUAUCCGUACCAUUUUCUUGAACUUCCCAUUUUCUUGUUGUCUUGCGCAUCCGUACAAUUUGAUCCUCCACAACAGUGCAUACAGAUUCUGAGGUACUUUGGCCAGAAGGCAAGGCAUUUGCAGCCGUUUCACUGAAGGGUUGAAUGAAGAUAGCAAGACGGCUGAAAGAUACAGAGAAGUAGGUGUGGCACCCCUUGCGAAGAGACUAGAAGCAAAAAGAGGUGAAAAAACAGAAGAAAAAAAAAUACAUCUGGCAGUACGUACAUAAAGCACAUUGCUAUGAUACAGAGGAUGUACAUAUGGUGAGAGGUCGCUCCGCCCCUUUAAAUGUCUCAUACAUAAUCUUCAGUUAGUUCCACGGAGGAGAUGAAGGUCUGUACAUAAAAUCCUGAGAUGUUGAUCCAUAGUUUAGGUCAAGGUUACGGAGUUGCUCCAUCAGCUGAGAGCGUCUUUCUUUGAAGAAGUCGAGACGCGUUGUUAAUUCUACCAAAGUGGAAGAUGCAGCUGAGGGAUGUCGGUCAUAAUCCAUCACCUGCUAAAUUCAUGGUCAAAGAUCAUCACUAGAAUUCUGGGUUCAGUGAAAAGCAUCAAAUAAAAGAUGCAUCUGCCUCUGCAUCAUCUUACAGUCGAUGCAUUUGAAGAUUGAUCUUGCAAUGUUGAAGUAUCAUGCUGCUAAUCAAAGUGAUGGGAGAAACCAGGGUCCAUCAAGUAUGCAAGAUUUUGGUUUGGAGCCAAUUGUGUGAACCUUGUUCAUACACUGUUGAGAAUGAGACGCAGCAGAAGUUUUUAUUUCUGUUACCUCAAUGGCCCUUGAUGUAGACGGCCCACAGGGAGAAUCAAUGUUACCGAGUUCAUCCAAGGAUAAACUGGUUGAUGCCUCAGUACUCUUGGAAUCACUCAAGGUUGUAUCAAGGAAUAGCUUCCGAACAGGCUGCCUACUACUGGCCCCAGAUGUCAGUACUUGCCCUUUGAAAUUCCUCAUAUCUGCACCCAGCGGUUCCUG